CUCAAAUUUUGAAAAUGACGUCAUGUGCGCAUACGCGGACGUCCCUAGUAUACAUUCGGCUUAACUUGCAGGGUUGUCUUGGCAAAAGGGUUCUUUAAUUCCCGCCUUUUUUAUUUUAAAUUUAGUCAGUUAUUUUCAAGCUGUCUCCUGAUUAUUUUCACCUGUAAAAGCCCUGAAUAAUUAGUCCUGCUGUACCGCCUGCAGACUAACAACACAAACAGGUAAAAGAGUAAAAUAAUCAUCAUUUACUGUUAAAAACAUUUUGAAAAUUUAAGUUUUGUGUGUUCUUAUUGUACUUUAUUUCUUUUAUAACAGGUCAACUUUAUACUGUAAGCUUCAUUCACUUUAUUACAAGCUUCAUACUUUUUAAAAUGAUGUUUCGUAUGUGAGGUAAUCUUUCUUAUGCUGGGAGUGAAGGCAGUGUGUAUGACCGCUUGAUAUUAGAGACACAUCCUGUUUUUAAAGGUGAAUUGUGAGUGAAGCUUUGAAAAGUUGGAUAGCUGCAGGUCGGCUGCAUUGGCUUGAUAACAGUGGUUUAUGUUAAUUCAGUGACACAUUCAAGGAUCCAAAUCUUGUUUGGCCUGAUGCUCAACCUUGUACAGUCCACCAAAUGAUGACCACUGCAAGGUGAUGUGAAUCUGGGGUAAUCACAACCUGUGUCUUAAGAUCAACAUGACAACAGCAGACCAUCUAUUUUCUUACUCUUAUCUGACUAAAUGUUCAACUUCAUUGACACAAAACAAAGAACAUUGGAUGGAGCAUGUACUGUACAAUGAUCCAGCAAACAAAAUAAUAUGGACUUUUUUGGCUAUAGCUUCUACAAACAUUGACACAAUAUUGAGUUUUAUUUUUACAGCUAGUAAUGUAUUAUUAACAUCCCAUUCAUAUGUAUUCUAUGUCGUCUAUCUGUUUGUGCUAAAAUGUAUACAUCGGUAAUGUCAUAAUAUGUUGAUAUUCAGUAUUGAUAAUCAUUUGCAUGUUUUGAUGUUGCAUAUGUCAUGAUUUUAUUGAUUUCAUGUAAUUGUUGUCUAUUUAGAAUGAUUGUCUUUGCCAAAUGUAAUUGUUUAUUUAAUAUUGAAGCAGUUAUUUAACAUCCUCAACAAACGGUUAUGUGAAUUUUUAGAAAUGAAUAAAAUCUUGGUGGAUGAAUAGAAUGGAUUCAGGAAAAAAAGAGCAUGCAUUGAUCACAUCUACGUUCUGUCCUCAGUGGUGAGAGCAAGGCUGCAGGAAGAUAAAAGUAUUUUUGUUUGUUUUGUUGAUUUUAAAAAAGCUUUUGAUUGGA